UCACAAUCUCUUUCCUAUUGCUCACCCCUUGAUCCUUGUAGUCACUCAGCAGACUCACACAAAAUCAAAGUACGACUCCUUCUUGAUGAGGCCUCUCACCCAAGAAGAUCGCCACCAGUUUUUAGCUGGAUUUCUAGCAGUCGUUUUCUUUACAAAGUAUUUUUUCAACAAAAUGAAAGAAGUACAAAAAGAAGUCUUCAAUCUUGAACAAUGUGUCUUUUCACGAAUCUGGUUAUUCAAUGAUGGAUUAUGAGAACAUUGUCUUUUCUCUCAAGAAUACUUUUUCAGCUCUCUCAAUGAUUAUGGAUAAUCUUUUUGGUUUUGAUCUGAAAAAGCAAUAUCAGAAUGUUAACAAUGUGUUGUAUUGUGUUAAUGAGAGUUAAUGAGAGAAUGAUUGAAAACAGUUUAUAUAGUUUCUGAAAAACAACUAAUAAAUCGAUUUGACAAUCGAUUCAUUAAAGUUCUAAAACAGGUCUAAUCGAUUUCCCAAUCGAUUAUCGCGGGUCUUGUUUUUCUUGAAUCUUGAAACUACACAAGCC
rnacentral:lncRNA from 1 species